CCUACGGGGGGCUGCAGUGGGGAAUAUUGCACAAUGGGGGAAACCCUGAUGCAGCGACGCCGCGUGAGUGAAGAAGUAUCUCGGUACGUAAAGCUCUAUCAGCAGGGAAGAUAAUGACGGUACCUGACCAAGAAGCCCCGGCUAACUACGUGCCAGCAGCCGCGGUAAUACGGAGGAUGCGAGCGUUAUCCGGAUUUAUUGGGUUAAAAGGGUGCGCAGGCGGAAGAUCAAGUCAGCGGUAAAAUUGAGAGCCUCAACCUCUUCGAGCCGUUGAAACUGGUUUUCUUGAGUGAGCGAGAAGUAUGCGGAAUGCGUGGUGUAGCGGUGAAAUGCAUAGAUAUCACGCAGAACUCCGAUUGCGAAGGCAGCAUACCGGCGCUCAACUGACGCUCAUACACGAAAGUGUGGGUAUCGAACAGGAUUAGAUACCCCUGUAGUC
rnacentral:rRNA from 1 species